rnacentral:lncRNA from 1 species
UAUGAAAAGAAAAUUGCAGUAAAAGUGUUUCUAAGUCUUUGGGUUCCAUCAUUUGAGGUGUUUCUUCGGUUUUGAUAUGAAGCUUCUAUUGUAAAGAAAGGUAGACAGAGAGUUUGUGGGAGUGAAUGGCUUUAAUGAAAACUGAAGAUUCAUUGUAUAUGUUAAGAGAGAAACGUUGAACAGAGGGUAAGCAAGAGACGGAGAAAAAGAGAUAGGGGAAAGUAGAAAGAUGAGAGGAGAAAUUUUUUUUAAGAACAACCGAUGAGAUAGGGGUGUUCAAUCCGGAUAUCGGUU